rnacentral:rRNA from 1 species
AGGACGAACGCUGGCGGCGUGCUUAACACAUGCAAGUCGAGCGGAAAGGCCCUUCGGGGUACUCGAGCGGCGAACGGGUGAGUAACACGUGAGCAACCUGCCCUGGACUUUGGGAUAACCCUCGGAAACGGGGGCUAAUACCGAAUAUUACUUCUGCCCGCAUGGGUGGUGGUGGAAAGUUUUUCGGUCUGGGAUGGGCUCGCGGACUAUCAGCUUGUUGGUGGGGUGAUGGCCUACCAAGGCGACGACGGUUAG